GGCCAGACUCCUACGGGAGGCAGCAGUGGGGAAUAUUGGGCAAUGGGCGCAAGCCUUACCCAGCAAUACCGCGUGAGUGAAGAAGGUCUUCGGAUUGUAAAGCUCUUUGAUCAGGGACGAACAGAUGACGGUACCUGAAGAACAAGCCCCGGCUAACUACGUGCCAGCAGCCGCGGUAAUACGUAUGGAGCAAGCGUUAUCCGGAUUUACUGGGCGUAAAGGGAGCGUAGGCGGCCUGCCAAGUCUGAUGUGAAAUACCGGGGCUCAACCCCGGGGCUGCAUUGGAAACUGGCAGGCUGGAGUGCCGGAGAGGCAGGCGGAAUUCCUAGUGUAGCGGUGAAAUGCGUAGAUAUUAGGAGGAACACCAGUGGCGAAGGCGGCCUGCUGGACGGUGACUGACGCUGAGGCUCGAAAGCGUGGGGAGCAAACAGGAUUAGAUACCCGAGUA
rnacentral:rRNA from 1 species